rnacentral:lncRNA from 1 species
UUGCUAUUCUAAAACUCAGAAGGGCUAUUUACUUUAUGAUCAUGCUAACAAAGUAUUUUUUGUCAACAGAGAUAUCAGAGAAGACAUGUUUCCUUUCAAAGAAAGACUCUUGAAACUCAAUAUCUCAUAGCUGCCAAACUCAAUGAGACCGUAGUUAAUUGGUUAGAUAUGGAUCGAUGCUCUCACAUGAUACAUCAAUUGUUCAAAGACCACCAGAGGAAUCUAAUGAUCCUAGGGUACAAGAAUAUACUACACAAGUGAAGAUUGAUUAGGAUCAAACACCAAACACAUAUCAAGUUGAGGAUUAUAUACAAGUAGCUCAAAGAAGGACCACCAGAACUAGAAAGGCUCCUUUACGGCUCAAGGACUUUGUGUCUCUCAAUAUUCAUCAGGAACAACCUUAUGCUUUGGGAAAAUACUUGACCUAUGAUACGCUGUCUCCUAAGUACCAGGCAUACGCUGUCUCCUAAGUACCAGGCAUACAUCCAAUCCUGUAUGUCAUGAAAGGACAAAGCACAUUGAAAUAGACUGUCAUUUCAUAAGGGAGAUGCUCAAUCAAGGACUAGUAACAGUCAACUAUAUUUCUACUAAUGAUCAGCCUGCUGAUGUGCUAACUAAGGGUCUCAAUAGAGCUCAACAUGAACACUUGUUAUCCAAGCUAGGCAUGCUUAAUCUAUUUGAGAUUACCUAGCUUGAGGGAGAGUGUUGAAAGAAGGAAGAUUAGCUGGGCCAUUGAAGAAAACAUUGUUGAAGUAGUGUUAACUAUUUUUCGGAUAAUAGUUAAUAACUAGCUCUGUGUAUUAUAACUAAUUAAGUUAGUUAAGUAGUUAGCUUUUGGACUCUUCUAUAAUCAACUAUAUAUAGAUUCUAAACACUCUAUGUAUCACACAUUGACAAGAUUCAAUCAAUGAAAAGACUUCCACUCUUCUUCUUUGCAUUUCCUCUCUUCUUUCUUCUUUCUCAUUUCAUGUUAUAGAGUUCAUAAUCCAAGAAUUCUGAUUUUGUUCAUUAAUUAUUGACAUGCUAAAUGGAAAGAUUGAUAAAAAAAAUUAUUUAUGAGAAAUUUAUUAAGUCCCACACGAAAGGAGAGGAUGCAGUGGAGAAUGAACAUAUUUGUUUCCUAGUUACAUGGCUUUGUGUUCGUUUUUUGCAAUGGUUCAUUAAGGCCAACAAAGAAAUAUAGCCAAUUAUUUGUUGCUCUUUUUGUUGACCUUAAUGAACUAUUGCAAAAUAUGUACUUACAAAGACACAAUAAUUAGGAAAGAGAUUUUCAACCUCCUCUACACCCUCUCUUUUCAUGUUGACCUCGAUAAAUUUCUCAUAAUAUAAUCUUUUAAAAUUCUCACACUUUGGAAAGGUAAAGAUUGAGUUUGAGACGUCGAGUGUUGCACUAAUCACCUAGUCAUGAGGCCUUUGUGUUGUUAAAGGCAACAAGGGAUUUUUCUCCUACAUGAGCAUUAUAUGUAUGUGUCAUGUUAAUUAUUAUAAAAUUUGUAUUAUUGCAUUGUCAAUGGAUUACCAUAUAAUAUAAAUAUUAGCAUAACAAACACGCAUUGUAAUACAAAGUUAUUUAAUAGAUUAGAACAUAUUAUAUAAGUUAUUCGCUUAAACAAGUAACACUUAUGAAAUCAUAUUGUAAUUUAUUAUUGGUUGUUUUAUCAAUAAUAAAUUGAUAUCAUAUCAUAAUGGCACUAAUAAAUUGAUAUGAUAUCACAAAGACAAUUUUUUUACUUGUAAUUGGUCAUUAAGAUAUUGUUAUGCCACCAAAAUAAGAAUGACUCAUCAAAAAAAUUAAAGGUACUAUAAGGUUGCUUUGCAUUAUAGGUACAAAUUUAUUCAACAUAUUAUUAUUUCUUAAAUGGUCAUUAAAAUCUUAAUUGCUUUAAAAAAUUUAAGGCUAAAUACCAAGAUAGUCUAUCAAACUUCACACAGUUUGUAAGUUAGACACAUUGACUUAACCAGUGACUAGAUAAAUGUUGAAAAAUAUGUUCCAACGGCACAAAAAUAUAUAUAUAUACAAGAUAAAGGUUUGACAUACGAACAAUGAACACAAGAUUUAAGGCUUGAAACACGUGUGAAACAUUUUAUUUUAUGUUCGCUUUGCACGUGUUUCAAUCCUCAAAUCUUGUGUUCGUUGUACGUAUCAUUAAACCUCCAUCUUGUGUUCUUCUUCAUAUAUUUUUGUAUUCUUAAUAGAUAUUUCCAACAAUCUAAAAAGGAUAUUUGCUCCCUCUUCUCUACGAGUUUGCUAUGGGAUUGUACGCAAAUAGUUUUAGUGGAUAUGAUAAGCCUAUGGAUUUCUGCACUAAGCAAACAGUGAAGAAAAUCAUAUUGGAAAGCAAGAAAAUGAACUACAUCUUUUUGACGAAGAAAAUAUUAUUUUGGGAAAAAAUGUAAAGAAAGACUCUUGAAAAAAUAUUUCUGUAAAAGAUACAUUAGAAAUAAGAGGAUGUUGGAUUUAAAUAGAAUAGGUGAAAAAAACAAACAAUAAAAAGUACACUACGUAUUAUUUAAAAGACACUUCAUCAAAAAAUAUCCCUCUUAUAAUUAUUAAUUUGAUUUAAACAAAAAUCUGACAAUAAAUAUUUUAACUUGGUAAAAGUUAAAGUAUCAAAUUUACAAGCUCUGUCAAGUUUGAAGACCUACGUUGGUAAAUUUUCUAUAUAUUUUAAAUAGACACUGAUUUAAUACAUAAAAUUUGGUUAAUUUUCAAAACUUAUAAAUAAGAAAAAUAAUUAAAUAAAUAUUUUCUUAGGUGUUUACUCUAUUUAAAAGGAUAAAAAGGAGACGAUAUUUUGUUGCAAGGCUUACUUAAAAAUUUGGUAAUAACUUCAGUUUAAGUUUUUCAUUUUACCUUUCAUGCUUGUGACAUUUGGAUGAGCUUAUAGCAUUUAACAUAAGUCAAAAAUCAUAAGUUAAGAAUUCUAGCUUAAAAUUUUGUCUUAUUUUUUUUUGGGGGGGGGGGGAUUACAAUCAGGCUUAAAAGAACUUUUUUAUUUUAUUCAAAUAGUAUAAAAAUCCUAAAAGCAAUUUUGACUUAAAAACUAUUAAAUAAGUCAAUUUGAAUAGACUUUAAGAAAUAUACUAAUGAAUGUAUGUACUUACUUUAUCAGAAGAUGAGAUACUACCCAUAUUAAUUAAUUGGGGUAACGUCUCUCACUUAAUUAUUUAAUUAUUAAUUAUCUAUAUUUAUUUAAGCACCAUAUGUGGUUAAGUACUUGUUGAUGGUUGAAAUCUCUCUCAUCAGAAAUAAAACGGCAAACUGUUGGAUACUGUGAAGCUAGCAUACAUGUUUCUGUCAAAUUGAUUUACACAAAUAAAAAUAUGACAAAUUCAGAAAGUGCACAUUUUGUUUUAAUGUUUAAAGCUAGAGUGUAAGCGAAUCUUAAUACAUGUAAAGAUCUGGAAUAUAAUAAUUUUGUAGAGAGGGGCGUUGCAUAAAACAUACCUGAUAUAGAAGACAUAAUCUUAGAGAAAAGCAAAAGCAUUAAUUGCAAAUGUGCUUUCUCUCGCCAGCGUUAGUUGUAAACCUGAUUUCUCUUACCUUUUCCUAGCUUUACUUUACUAUCGCCGACAGUGAUGGAACAAUUAUAAAGAAUGCGAGGCAACAAAAAUUACAACGAAUAUGUGGUAAACCUAGUGGCUGUU